UUUCUUCGGAGAGUUUGAUCCUGGCUCAGGAUGAACGCUGGCGGCGUGCCUAAUACAUGCAAGUCGAGCGA
rnacentral:rRNA from 2 species